CCUACGGGAGGCAGCAGUGGGGAAUCUUAGACAAUGGGGGCAACCCUGAUCUAGCCAUGCCGCGUGAGUGAUGAAGGCCUUAGGGUCGUAAAGCUCUUUCGCCUGUGAUGAUAAUGACAGUAGCAGGUAAAGAAACCCCGGCUAACUCCGUGCCAGCAGCCGCGGUAAUACGGAGGGGGUUAGCGUUGUUCGGAAUUACUGGGCGUAAAGCGCGCGUAGGCGGAUUAGAAAGUUGGGGGUGAAAUCCCGGGGCUCAACCCCGGAACUGCCUCCAAAACUGCUAGUCUAGAGUUCGAGAGAGGUGGGUGGAAUUCCAAGUGUAGAGGUGAAAUUCGUAGAUAUUUGGAGGAACACCAGUGGCGAAGGCGGCUCACUGGCUCGAUACUGACGCUGAGGUGCGAAAGUGUGGGGAGCAAACAGGAUUAGAUACCCUGGUAGUCCACACCGUAAACGAUGAAUGCCAGUCGUCGGGUAGUAUACUGCUCGGUGACACACCUAACGGAUUAAGCAUUCCGCCUGGGGAGUACGGUCGCAAGAUUAAAACUCAAAGGAAUUGACGG
rnacentral:rRNA from 1 species